GGCGGGAAGAGGGGAGGUGCCUACGGCGCCUCGGCUUCUCUUGUUUAAAACAAAAAACGGCGUGGCAGCAUGGGAGGCUUUGUUUACACUGCGGCCUGCAAGCCAGAUAUAACACACAAGCGGGCCGGGGUUUGGAGACCCCUGUCUUAUAUCUACAUUAUUCUAGCUGAACUGCUUAUCUUAGGUGUAAUUUCCCAAAAAGCUAUUAACAAACAAUUUUGUUUCUAGAAAACAGUCAGUUUGUCGUGGCGUAUACGGUGGAUGAUCAAGACUGUGAAAAUCUAUGUGUUCAAUCUCCAGUGAAUGGGGAGCCUAUAGCAGGACCAUCUUGUACUGGAGCGGAGACAGAAAAUGCCACUGUUCAUCCAGAAGUACCAAAUGAAGUUACACAACCAAAUCAGGUAGACGCAAGUCUACAAGAAAUGGUGGAAAAUGCAGCAAUAAACAACGCUUCUUUGUCUGUUCCUCUUCGGGCUCCAAGAGGCAGAAGAAGAAGAGAACUGUUGUCCGAACGUGUGGAUGCUGCAAACAAUGUUGCUGACCAAUUAGGGCAGACUUUGAAUGCACUGAUCCAAAAAAUACAUGAUCGUCAAAACGUGCAAGAUUGUUUUCAACAGGCUGUGGUAACACAAAUGACAAGAACAAAUGACAAUCUUGAACAGAUUAAUAAUUAUUUGGCUAAUGUGUUGGAGGAGCAAAAAAAUAUGUCUACUGCCCUGUUCUAUUGAGUUGGUGCUGUGGCUCCACUGUGUCGACAAAUGGCCCCUCCUAAUGAGUCAGAUAAUGACACGGAUGCCACAAACAUUUGAUUACGUUUGGAAAAAGAAAAUAAACCACGCUAAUGAUCAGUGAAUAUUGAAAAGUGAAAAAUGAGUAUGUAUACCAUACAAAUAUUCUAAUAAAAUAGUGAAAAAACAGUCCACAGUGAAUAGAGGAAAACCUUGAUGAAUGUCCUUAAAGACAACAAGCCCCUGUAGUCCAAACUGAGAGGGCUACCGGGAUUCCAAAUGAAAAUGUAUUCAUAUAUUAGAGUCCGAUAAGAAGAAAAGGUGACAUCCACCCAGGUGCAGUCAGAUCUCAAUGGAUCAAAGGAAUAAUGGUUAACACUGAUGUGACAUGCAGCUGAACACCUCCACCACACGCAUAUGCAAGUCUGCUUACCAGAUGGAAAUGGUCCCUGGGUUAGAGGAGACCAAAAACAGCAUAUAGCAAUUAGCCCGGUAGCC